rfam:Candidatus Spechtbacteria bacterium RIFCSPLOWO2_12_FTLL_38_22 rifcsplowo2_12_scaffold_7996, whole genome shotgun sequence.
GGGGAUGUUUUAGAUUUGCUAGGAGAAAGUAUUUAUAGUUUGCAAGUCGAGCUCGUCUAGUGCUCGUAAAACAAUAGACAACGAGUAAGUGCAAACUUCUCACGCAGUGAAACACCUGCAUUAGCUUACGCUUAAUCCGCCAGCCGGCGGACCGUAAGCCAUCGCAUUGAAUGACUUCCGAUGGUUCAAAUGCGGUGCCAAUUUAUCGGAAUAGCUAGUAGUGUGUCCAAACUGUUAGCAAAACUUUAGGACUCGGAUUUAUAGUGUUUUGGUUAUUUUUUAGCUAUAUAUCUUAAAUGGGUAACCUAAAACAAAUAAUCUAAACUUGUAGGUUAGCUAUUUUUACCUCUUCUACACGCGGGUUCAAUCCCCGCCAUCUCCACCA